rnacentral:rRNA from 1 species
UACGGGGGGGGUAAGCGUUGUUCGGAAUUACUGGGCGUAAAGGGCUCGUAGGCGGCCAACUAAGUCGGACGUGAAAUCCCUCAGCUUAACUGGGGAACUGCGUCCGAUACUGGAUGGCUUGGAUUUGGGAGAGGGAUGCGGAAUUCCAGGUGUAGCGGUGAAAUGCGUAGAUAUCAGGAGGAACACCGGUGGCGAAGGCGGCUUUCUGGACAGUAACCGACGCUGAGGCGCGAAAGCUAGGGGAGCAAACAGG